rnacentral:misc_RNA from 1 species
UUCACCAAGCUUCCUGU